rnacentral:tRNA from 1 species
UCGGGGUGUAGCGUAGUCCGGUUAUCGCGCCUGGUUUGGGACCAGGAGGUCGUAGGUUCGAAUCCUGCCACCCCGACUUU